rnacentral:piRNA from 1 species
GUAGGUGCCGUUGUAUUUGGAGCAUAGU